GAUGAACGCUGGCGGCGUGCCUAAUACAUGCAAGUCGAGCGAACAGAUGAGGAGCUUGCUCCUCUGACGUUAGCGGCGGACGGGUGAGUAACACGUGGAUAACCUACCUAUAAGACUGGGAUAACUUCGGGAAACCGGAGCUAUUACCGGAUAAUAUAUUGAACCGCAUGGUUCAAUAGUGAAUGACGGUUUUGCUGUCACUUAUAGAUGGAUCCGCGCCGCAUUAGCUAGUUGGUAAGGUAACGGCUUACCAAGGCAACGAUGCGUAGCCGACCUGAGAGGGUGAUCGGCCACACUGGAACUGAGACACGGUCCAGACUCCUACGGGAGGCAGCAGUAGGGAAUCUUCCGCAAUGGGCGAAAGCCUGACGGAGCAACGCCGCGUGAGUGAUGAAGGUCUUCGGAUCGUAAAACUCUGUUAUUAGGGAAGAACAAAUGUGUAAGUAACUAUGCACGUCUUGACGGUACCUAAUCAGAAAGCCACGGCUAACUACGUG
rnacentral:rRNA from 1 species